GCAAUAUUAGUUCAUUGUAUGUAUAAAUAAUUUAUUUAUAAUUUAUAAAAACAUAUUGACUAAUUCUUAUUACUGUACUUAACAGCGGCUAAGACAAUUAAAAAAACAGACUGCUAUACGCUUUGCAAGGACUUUCCUAUUACCUUUCACCAAAGGUGCCGCCAACAUUGUGACAGAUCAUUCGCUGGACAAAAUUCUGUUGUAGUUACUUCAAUAGAAGAUUGCCAAGACAGAUGCAAUG